rnacentral:lncRNA from 1 species
AACUCAUUGACAUGAUCCAAUCCUCUUGGGCUCACAAAUAGGUGCCCCAUUAAAAUUAAAAUAGAUUUAGAUUAGACUUAAAUCAUAGGCUAUGGCUUAGGUUUCCUUCAUCUUUUCUUUUCUUAUUCUUUCUUUGGAGUAAACAAAAUAUAUCCUUCUUUGAAAAGUUAUGAUAGGCCUAAUACCCUAUGAAGGAACC